UACAGAAGCCUCGAGCGUUGUUCGGAAUUACUGGGCGUAAAGGGAAUGUAGGUGGUGACGUAAGUCAGAUGUGAAAGCCCCGGGCUUAACCCGGGAAGUGCAUUUGAUACUGCGUUGCUAGAGUGUGGAAGAGGAGAGCGGAAUUCCAGGUGUAGGGGUGAAAUCCGUAGAUAUCUGGAGGAAUACCGAUGGCGAAGGCAGCUCUCUGGUCCGUAACUGACACUGAGAUUCGAAAGCGUGGGUAGCAAACAGG
rnacentral:rRNA from 1 species